rnacentral:rRNA from 1 species
AAUAGAUACCCGGGUAGUCCACGCCGUAAACGAUGUCGACUUGGAGGUUGUGCCCUUGAGGCGUGGCUUCCGGAGCUAACGCGUUAAGUCGACCGCCUGGGGAGUACGGCCGCAAGGUUAAAACUCAAAUGAAUUGACGGGGGCCCGCACAAGCGGUGGAGCAUGUGGUUUAAUUCGAUGCAACGCGAAGAACCUUACCUACUCUUGACAUCCAGAGAACUUAGCAGAGAUGCUUUGGUGCCUUCGGGAACUCUGAGACAGGUGCUGCAUGGCUGUCGUCAGCUCGUGUUGUGAAAUGUUGGGUUAAGUCCCGCAACGAGCGCAACCCUUAUCCCUUGUUGCCAGCGAUUCGGUCGGGAACUCAAAGGAGACUGCCAGUGAUAAACUGGAGGAAGGUGGGGAUGACGUCAAGUCAUCAUGGCCCUUACGAGUAGGGCUACACACGUGCUACAAUGGCAUAUACAAAGAGAAGCGACCUCGCGAGAGCAAGCGGACCUCAUAAAGUAUGUCGUAGUCCGGA